rnacentral:rRNA from 1 species
GAUGAACGCUGGCGGCGUGCUUAACACAUGCAAGUCGAACGGAAAGGCCCAAGCUUGCUUGGGUACUCGAGUGGCGAACGGGUGAGUAACACGUGGGUGAUCUGCCCUGCACUUCGGGAUGAGCCUGGGAAACUGGGUCUAAUACCGGAUAGGACCACAUUUUGGAUGGUGUGGUGGAAAGUUUUUCGGUGUGGGAUGAGCUCGCGGCCUAUCAGCUUGUUGGUGGGGUAAUGGCCUACCAAGGCGUCGACGGGUAGCCGGCCUGAGAGGGUGUACGGCCACAUUGGGACUGAGAUACGGCCCAGACUCCUACGGGAGGCAGCAGUGGGGAAUAUUGCACAAUGGGCGCAAGCCUGAUGCAGCGACGCCGCGUGGGGGAUGACGGCCUUCGGGUUGUAAACUCCUUUCGCUAGGGACGAAGCGCAAGUGACGGUACCUGGAGAAGAAGCACCGGCUAACUACGUG